GAUGAACGCUGGCGGCGUGCCUAAUACAUGCAAGUCGAGCGAAUGGAUUAAGAGCUUGCUCUUAUGAAGUUAGCGGCGGACGGGUGAGUAACACGUGGGUAACCUGCCCAUAAGACUGGGAUAACUCCGGGAAACCGGGGCUAAUACCGGAUAACAUUUUGAGCCGCAUGGUUCGAAAUUGAAAGGCGGCUUCGGCUGUCACUUAUGGAUGGACCCGCGUCGCAUUAGCUAGUUGGUGAGGUAACGGCUCACCAAGGCAACGAUGCGUAGCCGACCUGAGAGGGUGAUCGGCCACACUGGGACUGAGCCACGGCCCAGACGCCUACGGGAGGCAGCAGUAUGGAAUCUUCCGCAAUGGACGAAAGUCUGACGGAGCAACGCCGCGUGAGUGAUGAAGGCUUUCGGGUCGUAAAACUCUGUUGUUAGGGAAGAACAAGUGCUAGUUGAAUAAGCUGGCACCUUGACGGUACCUAACCAGAAAGCCACGGCUAACUACGUGCCAGCCGCCGCAGUAA
rnacentral:rRNA from 1 species